rnacentral:lncRNA from 1 species
GCUCAUAGUUCAUACCCUUUUGGAUAAACUGAGGACAACUCCAGGAGCUUGCCAAGUAAGCUAGUUUAGUUGGCCGGCUUGCUCCAGGGACCCCAUUACUGCCUUCAAACACAGAGAUUACAGGUGAGCUGCCAUGGGGAAAUGUACAGAAGCUGGGGAAAUGAGCUGUAGUUCUCACAACUGCACAACCACAGCCAUCUCCCCAACACUUAAGAGCUGCUUGUCCGAUAUGCUGUCUUAGCAAUGAGAAAGCGACUCGCACCUAUUGAGAUUUUUCUCAUCCUUGGUUUGGGAUUAUGAAAUAGCUUGAACUUCACUCACUCACCCUCUUCUCCUUCACUAACACCUCAAAAUAUCUGUGAGUCCCAGCUGGGCCCAUGGCAGAAACUUCGUCUAAGCAAAUGCCCUUCAUUAUUACCACGGGCCCACUGUCAUCCAGCCAGGGGGUAGUGCCCUGCUCUGCCAGAGGUGACUUGUGCCCUGUUUCAAGCUUAUUACUUUAAGUCACCCAGUACCAUUGGCCUGAGGAGCAAGGAGUGGGGUAAAAUGACCUUCUGUGUAUCUUACUGACCUGGGUCCUAGACCUUCAUCCACAGCAGUCUCGUCCAAUGACCACACCAGCACAGAAAGAUCUCUGUGUGUACUUAUUGGCAUUCCAUAGGAGCUUGAGUGACGGGGCUGGUGGAGGGGUCUUAUGCAUCACGAAUAUGAAUAUCAUUAUUCAAAUCACUCUGGUAGAUGUUGAAGAUAAAAGGAAAUGUUUUAUUUUGUGUUCAUUAGGCACUAGAGGGUACGUUGCCCCUGGCUGCCGACUCAUUAUGCCUGUUAUGGUUAAUGGGAGUUAAACUCCAAUAUCACAUCAAGGGGGAGAAAUGAUCCCAUAAGUAUUUGGAAAUUUUUUCCUCCCAAUUGCAGAUCAAAGCUAGGUUAUGAACUUCUAUGCUGUCUUGCUAAUGGAUUAGACUAAUAGCAUUCUUUGAAUUUCCCCCAUAUGCUAACUCUCUGUGUGGGGAUGAUUACGGGAAGUCUGCGAGCCUGGGAGAUUGCAAGGUCUACCAGAGUCUGCUGUCAGAGUGAAUUCUCCUGGCAGGGAAGAAAACCAGCAACGCCUAAAUGCCUGCUCAUCACAUCUGCCUGCCGGUUGCCGUGGUCCCCACCAGGAUGGUCAUGACCUCGUCCAUUGAAAUGAUCCAUUUGUUGGCCUCAGUAAUCUCCGUUGUUCUCCGCCGUGCUGUCUGCAGUUCGGCUCUGUCUGGAGUGAAAUGUGGGACCCAGGAGGAAACAGAAAUGGGUCUUCUCAGCAACACUCAAGCAACAGAUGACUCUGCCGAGACUCCACCUGGAAGGCUGCGCUCAGCUCGGAGCUCCUAAUUACCAGCCAGAGCUAAAAACGGAGGCCGAAAAAUCACAACAUGAAGUAAACAGACAUGGCAGGAGCCAGGUUUGCAUUCAGAGUCCCGGAGUUCUUUGGCAA